rnacentral:rRNA from 1 species
UACGUAGGGUCCGAGCGUUAAUCGGAAUUACUGGGCGUAAAGCGUGCGCAGGCGGUUUUGUAAGCCAGAUGUGAAAUCCCCGGGCUUAACCUGGGAACUGCAUUUGGGACUGCAAGGCUUGAGUACGGCAGAGGGGGGUAGAAUUCCUGGUGUAGCAGUGAAAUGCGUAGAUAUCAGGAGGAAUACCGAUGGCGAAGGCAGCCCCCUGGGUCGAUACUGACGCUCAUGCACGAAAACGUGGGGAGCAAACAGG